rnacentral:rRNA from 1 species
CAGCAGCCGCGGUAAUACGAAGGGGGCUAGCGUUGUUCGGAAUUACUGGGCGUAAAGGGCGCGUAGGCGGCCAUUCAAGUUAGACGUGAAAGCCCUGGGCUCAACCUAGGAAUUGCAUUUGAUACUGUUUGGCUUGAGUUCGGGAGAGGUGAGUGGAAUUCCCAGUGUAGAGGUGAAAUUCGUAGAUAUUGGGAAGAACACCAGUGGCGAAGGCGGCUCACUGGACCGACACUGACGCUGAGGCGCGAAAGCGUGGGGAGCAAACAGGAUUAGAGACCCCCGUAGUCCCUGUCUCUUAUAC